UACGUAGGGGGGCAAGCGUUGUCCGGAAUUAUUGGGCGUAAAGAGCGUGUAGGCGGUCCGGUAAGUCAGCUGUGAAAGUCAAGGGCUCAACCCUUGAAAGCCGGUUGAUACUGUCGGGCUAGAGUCCGGAAGAGGCGAGUGGAAUUCCUGGUGUAGCGGUGAAAUGCGCAGAUAUCAGGAGGAACACCGAUGGCGAAGGCAGCGUCUGG
rnacentral:rRNA from 1 species